rnacentral:rRNA from 1 species
GACGAACGCUGGCGGCGUGCUUAACACAUGCAAGUCGAACGGUGAAGCCCUUCGGGGUGGAUCAGUGGCGAACGGGAGCGUAACACGUGAGCAACCUGCCCCUGGCUCUGGGACAACCACUGGAAACGGUGGCUAAUACCGGAUACGACCCGCCUCGGCAUCGACUGUGGGUGGAAAGUUUUUCGGCUGGGGAUGGGCUCGCGGCCUAUCAGCUUGUUGGUGGGGUGAGGGCUCACCAAGGCGACGACGGGUAGCCGGCCUGAGAGGGCGACCGGCCACACUGGGACUGAGACACGGCCCAGACUCCUACGGGAGGCAGCAGUGGGGAAUAUUGCACAAUGGGCGAAAGCCUGAUGCAGCGACGCCGCGUGAGGGAUGACGGCCUUCGGGUUGUAAACCUCUUUCAGCUCCGAAGAAGCGAAAGUGACGGUAGGAGCAGAAGAAGCACCGGCUAACUACGUG